rnacentral:lncRNA from 1 species
AGAGAAUCCGAAUCCCAGCUGGCCACAGGGACGCCGGGCGAGGGCUGCACGGAGCCCCGCGCCUGGCUCUUCACUUCCGAUAGUCCGUGUCCCUGCACACCCUGAAAUCCCCUCCGCAGGGUGGAAAGCACCAGAAUCCUGGGGAUUUUUCUGGAGUGGAUUUUAUUUGGCCAGUGAGAAAGAACCAUGAUUAUCUACGAUGGUCAGAGGAGAACGUCACAGUGGCGGGCACCUGCCAAAUCAAGACCCCCUGCUGUCAGCAUUCAACAUGACCAC